rnacentral:rRNA from 1 species
UACAGAGGGUGCAAGCGUUUAAUCGGAGUUACUGGGCGUAAAGGGCGCGUAGGCGGAUUAUUAAGUUGGAUGUAAAAUCCCUGGGCUUAACCUAGGACUGUCAUCCGAAACUGGUAAUCUGGAGUACUGUAGAGGGUAGUGGAAUUUCCGGUGUAGCGGUGAAAUGCGUAGAUAUCGGAAGGAACACCUGUGGCGAAAGCGGCUCACUGGACCAUUACUGACGCUGAUGCACGAAAGCUAGGGGAGCAAACAGG